AUACGGAGGGGGCUAGCGUUGUUCGGAAUUACUGGGCGUAAAGCGCGCGUAGGCGGUUUGGAAAGUCAGAUGUGAAAUCCCAGGGCUCAACCCUGGAACUGCAUUUGAAACUAUCAGACUAGAGAUUGGGAGAGGUAAGUGGAAUUCCGAGUGUAGAGGUGAAAUUCGUAGAUAUUCGGAGGAACACCAGAGGCGAAGGCGACUUACUGGACCAAUACUGACGCUGAGGUGCGAAAGCGUGGGGAGCAAACGGGAUUAGAAACCCCAGUAGUCC
rnacentral:rRNA from 1 species